GCCACAAGGGAAGCAUCUCUACUUGGAGAUUGUCUCCUUUGGAGUGUUUAGUGAGCCUGAUCCUUGAAAAGGGGUAACAUCACAACAAAAAGAAAGAAAGAAUGGCUGAUCUGAGUUCAAGAUAUGGCUUGGACCACUUUCAG